rnacentral:rRNA from 1 species
AGUUGAGAGCUUGCUUUUUAAGUAGUGGCGAACGGGUGAGUAACGCGUGAGUACCUGCCCUAGAGUGGGGGACAACAGUUGGAAACGACUGCUAAUACCGCAUAAGGCCGCAUGACAAAAGAUUUAUCGCUUUAGGAUGGACUCGCGUCCAAUUAGCUAGUUGGUGAGGUAACGGCCCACCAAGGCGACGAUUGGUAGCCGGACUGAGAGGUUGAACGGCCACAUUGGGACUGAGACACGGCCCAGACUCCUACGGGAGGCAGCAGUGGGGGAUAUUGCACAAUGGGGGAAACCCUGAUGCAGCGACGCCGCGUGGAGGAAGAAGGUUUUCGGAUUGUAAACUCCUGUCGUUAGGGACGAUAAUGACGGUACCUAACAAGAAAGCACCGGCUAACUACGUGCCAGCAGCCGCGGUAAAACGUAGGGUGCAAGCGUUGUCCGGAAUUACUGGGUGUAAAGGGAGCGCAGGCGGGAAGACAAGUUGGAAGUGAAAACCAUGGGCUCAACCCAUGAAUUGCUUUCAAAACUGUUUUUCUUGAGUAGUGCAGAGGUAGAUGGAAUUCCCGGUGUAGCGGUGGAAUGCGUAGAUAUCGGGAGGAACACCAGUGGCGAAGGCGGUCUACUGGGCACCAACUGACGCUGAGGCUCGAAAGCAUGGGUAGCAAACAGGAUUAGAUACCCUGGUAGUCCAUGCCGUAAACGAUGAUUACUAGGUGUUGGGGGAUUGGCCCUCAGUGCCGCAGUUAACACAAUA